rnacentral:rRNA from 1 species
UACGUAGGUGACAAGCGUUGUCCGGAUUUACUGGGCGUAAAGAGCGUGCAGGCGGUCGAUCAAGUCGAGUGUGAAAGCCCCCCGGCUCAACUGGGGAGGGUCAUUCGAUACUGAUCGACUCGAAGGCAGGAGAGGGUAGUGGAAUUCCCGGUGUAGUGGUGAAAUGCGUAGAUAUCGGGAGGAACACCAGUGGCGAAGGCGACUACCUGGCCUGUUCUUGACGCUGAGGCGCGAAAAGCUAGGGGAGCAAACGGGG